UACGAGGGGUGCAAGCGUUGCUCGGAAUUAUUGGGCGUAAAGGGUAGGUAGGUGGUCUUGUUUGUCUGGGGUGAAAGCCUUGAGCUUAACUCAAGAAGUGCCUCGGAAACGGCAAGACUCGAGUACUGGAGAGGGUCGUGGAAUUCCCGGUGUAGCGGUGAAAUGCGCAGAUAUCAGGAGGAACACCGGUGGCGAAGGCGGUUCUCUGGGCAUUCCCUGACGCUGAGGAGCGAAAGUGUGGGGAGCGAACAGG
rnacentral:rRNA from 1 species